GAUUCCUUCUCUUUUUCUCCUGCUGAUUUUUCUUUUUGUUUUCUUUCCUUCUUUCUCUCUCUCUUUCUUUCUCUCUCUCUUUCUUUCUUUCUCUCUUUCUUUCUUUCUUUCUUUCUUUCUUUCUUUCUUUCUUUCUUUCUUUCUUUCUUUCUUUCUUUCUUUCUUGACUGUAGAAUUGGAUUCUUGAUGAUGUCUGCAUCCCUGAAAACUGAGGUUUCUUUGGAAAACCCUGCUAGAACCAUCCCUGCAACCAGCUGUGCUGCUGUUUCUUCUUUUUCUUUUUCAUUGCACUGCCUUGGAGAUUGUGCUGCUGUUAUCCAUUUCUUGCGUCAGUUACAGAAAUUGCUAUCAGCUCAGAAGAUGAGGCUUUGAAAUCUUUGGAUUCCACAUACACAUGCUUUGCUUUGAAGUUGUGGAGACCUUUUCCUGUUGUUUACAUAGCCCCUCCAUUCAAACACCUCAGGCACUUAAAAUUGGCUCAGAAACCUAGUAUAUAACUUCCUAGCUGAGAAGAGAAAAUAAAAAUGUAUUCUACCUGCUAGAGUGUUGGCAUAGUGACAGAUAAAGAAAUGUGAGAAAACUGGCCUCCAUUUCCUAAGGUACUUUGUGAGGUCCUGUCCUGUAUUUUCCCUUGCCUGGGUAUAGUUUCUUUUUAAUUGGUUUUGCAUCUGAUAAGAGGCACAUUGAGCAUUUGCAGUAUGUCAUCUGUUGCUAAGUACAAGCUACCCAUCACCAGCAGGCCUGCCGUCCUUACUUUCAGCACCAGCAUUUCCCCAUUCUAUUUGAAUCUACUGGCUCAAUACCAGACGUGGAAGCAUAUGAAGGAGUAAAGGAGAAUAAAUAACCCUGUUUAGUUUUCUUGGAGCAGAAAGUGUUUUGGAGGAGAAAGUAACCCAAAGGUCUCCUAUCUCCUUUACCUUUAUGAAAGGAACACCCUAUGCUUUAAAUAAUGAUUCAUGUGGUAUGCACCACAUUCUAAGAGUAAAAGCAGAGACGAAAGCUGCUAUUUAUUCUGUACAGUGAAAAUAGAAAUCUGGAAACAGCAUCUGCUUCUCAUUUAAGUGUAUUUUUUUUCUAACUGUUUAGAUGUACAGAGGCAUCAAGCCAGGUUUCAAUCAACAACAAAGGUCUCAUGCUAUCUAAACAAAACCUCAUUCCUGAAGCACUGGUCAUAACACUUGAAAUGGCUCAAAGACCUCAACUGGACUUUAAACACAAAGUAGUUAUAAAGCCUGGGUCAUGAGAAAAGACAUUUUUUGUUUUUUAAAUCAAGUUUGAAAUUGUAGAGAAAUAUUGCUAGAACUAUACUUUCUGAUACCUAUAAAUACCAAGUAAUUUAACCUUGGUUCAUAAAUCACAUUACCUUUUGAAAAAUAAACCUUGGAAUAAUGACUUGUAUUUCUUGUUUUUACAAAGAAGAAUGAAACUCUUUGGUACUUUGGAUGAUUUGAUUAUAUAGAUUACUUAUUAGAAGCAUACUUCCUAAUGCAUGUUAUUGGAAUGCAAUGCCGCAAAGGCUAACUGAUGUAAUUAUGGCUCCCUUAAUUCUAUGGCUCACAGAAUAGGAGUCUAAAAUAAAGAAACUUGGUUUCUGGAAACUCUGAACUACUCUCAGUUACACGCAGGUAAGUAGAGAUACAUCAUUUAGCAGAGAAAGGAAUUAGACAUUUUGAAGAAAAGAGCCCUAAACACUGACAAUCUCAGCAGCUGGAUAUGGGAGCCCCAGCUUUGUGGAAGACCUGUGGCUGCCUAUGAGUCUGUUCUGUAUGGAUGGCCCCAUAGCCAAAAGGAAGAUAGAAGCAAAGGAGAGCUUGAAUGGAGGAAAGAAAAUGCUGGACCUGAAUGGUUUAGGAAGCUGUUUGCAGGGCCAUGUUAGAAAAUGAAGCUGUCCCUAAUUCUGUUAACCCCUUCUCUCCAAGAAGACGAGGCUUCUAGUGACCUAUUUCCCUUCCUGUUCUUAGAGGCGACUCUGCAUGGUUCAGACCUCAGACUGACUUAAAACAG
rnacentral:lncRNA from 1 species